UCUGCCUGCUCAAUUCUGAUUUCAAAAUGACAUGUUUAAGCAAGACCACACAACUCAAAAUUUCUUAAAGAAAAUUGAUGUAACAAAUCACACUACAUCUGAGAAAUUCUCAAAGCCCCAAAAUCAGACUCAACUUCCAAGUCUUUUCAAACAGUUCAGAGUGCUCAUUACAUGAAUAAGAGCAAAAUUAAAUGACGAGGUUCUGAAAAUAAUUGAACUAGGUAUAAAGCUAUAUAUAACUAAGAUAGAAAUCAAUCCCAAACAACACUAGUAUCAGCAAAAACUAAACAAAUCCCAAAACACAAAAGUAUCAAAUGAAACUUCUACUGCAAAAGCCUUAACAACUCCUUUACACAACACAUACUCUUGCUAAUAUUUUAAACUAAGUGGUUGGAGUCCAUAAUUCAUCAACAUUACAAAACCACGUAAGUCUCAAUAUUCACGGCAUAACCUCACUUUAAACAUUCUUAAAAUAGGAAAAUUAAAUAAACAGGUCCAGUGGGAAAGAGAAAAUAAGAAAGAAACAACUAAUAAGAAAGGAGGCCUUUAUUUCUUCAAAACCACAUGAACCAUCUUUACUUGUUUAGAAUCAAUGAUGUGUAUCUGGUAACAAACAUCACAACAAAUGAAAAGUGAGAUGGGAACAAAGCAGAACCAACAGCAGUAAUCAGUUCUGAUCCCCAGCAAUGAAACAAUAAAAUCAAAAAUCAAAUAGCUUCAAACCAAGCCUUUAAAUCCCAGAAUCAGACCAUUUUUUCAAUCAGGUACAGGAAUUUGAAGUGCUUCAAAAACUCUAGCUAAUAAGGAGGAUCAGAAAAUCUAAACAAAAUAGGAUUUGAGCUAUUUUAUACAUAAGAAUAUGAUAAAUUCAAUGUUAAUUAAGAGUUCUUCUUCGAGUCUUAGUCGUUUCAACUUUUCAGGAUUUUUAUCUCAAAUUUUUUCUCUACCUUGAGCUGGAAAAAAAGGUGCAUUUUUAGGCAAGGUUUUAGGGUUGCAUAAACAGCUAAGUUUUGCACCUCAAUCCUUUUGAAAUAUUCAUUUUGGCUUAGAUAUCCUUAGGGUAAAAAUCAGUUUUCAGCAAAGUCCUAAAGGAAUCUUUUAGGAAGCUUCCUCAAUCAGUUAUUCAGAGAUUCCCCUAGCCUAAAUUCCUAAAUUACCCCUUUAAGCCCUGCUAUAUACCUUUGAAACCAAUCCAAAAUGGGUCAAAUUGACCCAAUAACUUAAACCCAAUUUGGAUAGGUUUCUCUUUGCAAAUGGAUCAGAGACAGCGCAAAUCCCAAACAACACACUUAUCUAAUAAAAUCUUUAGGCAUUGGAUAACAUGAAUACUAAAAUGGCUUCAACAAUCAGAAAACUCUAGACUAAAUGACGUGUUAACUAAAUAACUAAAUUAACAAAUCUAAACUGCACCAAUUAACAAACUAUGGGGAUUUUGGGGUGUUAGUUUUGGACUGAUCUGAGGCGCCGCCGCCGGCUGGAGAUGGCAGAAUUCUAGGGCGGCUCUAAGGUUUUCUUUUGCAUUUUUGAAGAUGAAUGUGAG
rnacentral:lncRNA from 1 species